rnacentral:rRNA from 1 species
UACAGAGGUCUCAAGCGUUGUUCGGAAUUACUGGGCGUAAAGCGCACGUAGGCGGCUUUGUAAGUUAGAGGUGAAAGCCUGGAGCUCAACUCCAGAAUUGCCUUUAAGACUGCAUCGCUUGAACGUCGGAGAGGUGAGUGGAAUUCCGAGUGUAGAGGUGAAAUUCGUAGAUAUUCGGAAGAACACCAGUGGCGAAGGCGGCUCACUGGACGACUGUUGACGCUGAGGUGCGAAAGCGUGGGGAGCAAACAGG